rnacentral:rRNA from 1 species
GACGAACGCUGGCGGCGUGCUUAACACAUGCAAGUCGAACGGAAAGGCCCACCACCUUGGUGGUGGGUACUCGAGUGGCGAACGGGUGAGUAACACGUGGGUGAUCUGCCCCGCACUGUGGGAUAAGCCUGGGAAACUGGGUCUAAUACCACAUACGACCAUGGCGUAGGGGUCAUGGUGGAAAGCCUUUGCGGUGUGGGAUGAGCCCGCGGCCUAUCAGCUCGUUGGUGGGGUAAUGGCCUACCAAGGCGGCGACGGGUAGCCGGCCUGAGAGGGUGGACGGCCACAUUGGGACUGAGACACGGCCCAGACUCCUACGGAAGGCAGCAGUGGGGAAUAUUGCACAAUGGGCGCAAGCCUGAUGCAGCGACGCCGCGUGGGGGAUGAAGGCCUUCGGGUUGUAAACUCCUUUCGCCCGGGACGAAGCCCACCUUGGUGGAUGACGUACCGGAGAAGAAGCACC